rnacentral:rRNA from 1 species
AUUAACGCUAGCGGCAGGCAUAAUACAUGCAAGUUGAACGGCAGCACAGGUAGCAAUACCGGGUGGCGAGUGGCGCACGGGUGCGUAACACGUAUGCAACCUACCCUAUACAGGCGAAUAACCUUUAGAAGUGAGGGCUAAUACGCCGUGGUAUUAUCUUGGGGCAUCUUGAGAUAAUUAAAGAUUUAUCGGUAUAGGAUGGGCAUGCGUCCCAUUAGUUAGUUGGUAGGGUAACGGCCUACCAAGGCGAUGAUGGGUAGGGG